rnacentral:rRNA from 1 species
CACGUAGGGCGCGAGCGUUGUCCGGAAUUAUUGGGCGUAAAGAGCUCGUAGGCGGCCUGUUGCGUCCGCUGUGAAAGCCCGGGGCUUAACCCCGGGUCGGCAGUGGAUACGGGCAGGCUAGAGGUAGGUAGGGGAGAAUGGAAUUCCCGGUGUAGCGGUGAAAUGCGCAGAUAUCGGGAGGAACACCAGUGGCGAAGGCGGCGACCUGGGCCAAUAUUGACGCUGAGGUGCGAAAGCGUGGGGAGCAAACAGG